UACUUGUAUAAUUAAAACAAGGCAUAAGGCCGGAUCUUUCAAAAUUCCCACGAGAGCGAAGCCGCGAGCGGUCGUUAUA